GAUGAAGAACGUAGCGAAAUGCGAUAAGUAAUGUGAAUUGCAGAAUUCAGUGAAUCAUCGAAUCUUUGAACGCACAUUGCGCCCGCCAGCAUUCUGGCGGGCAUGCCUGUUCGAGCGUCAUUUCAACCCUCAAGCUCUGCUUGGUGUUGGGGCCCUACGGUUGACGUAGGCCCUUAAAGGUAGUGGCGGACCCUCUCGGAGCCUCCUUUGCGUAGUAACUAACGUCUCGCAUUGGGAUUCGGAGGGACUCUUGCCGUAAAACCCCCAAAUUUUCUAAUGGUUGACCUCGGAUCAGGUAGGAAUACCCGCUGAACUUAAGCAUAUCAAUAAGCGAGGA
rnacentral:misc_RNA from 1 species